rnacentral:rRNA from 1 species
UGGGGAAUAUUGCACAAUGGGGGGAACCCUGAUGCAGCGACGCCGCGUGAGUGAAGAAGUAUUUCGGUAUGUAAAGCUCUAUCAGCAGGGAAGAUAAUGACAGUACCUGACUAAGAAGCCCCGGCUAACUACGUGCCAGCAGCCGCGGUAAUACGUAGGGGGCAAGCGUUAUCCGGAUUUACUGGGUGUAAAGGGAGCGUAGACGGAAUGGCAAGUCUGAAGUGAAAUACCCGGGCUCAACCUGGGAACUGCUUUGGAAACUGUUGUUCUAGAGUGUUGGAGAGGUAAGUGGAAUUCCUGGUGUAGCGGUGAAAUGCGUAGAUAUCAGGAAGAACACCGGAGGCGAAGGCGGCUUACUGGACAAUAACUGACGUUGAGGCUCGAAAGCGUGGGGAUCAAACAGGAUUAGAUACCCUGGUAGUCCACGCUGUAAACGAUGAAUACUAGGUGUCGGGGUGCAAAGCAUCUCGGUGCCGUCGCUAACGCAAUAAGUAUUCCACCUGGGGAGUACGUUCGCAAGAAUG